rnacentral:tRNA from 1 species
UAUCUCGCRCGUGAGCGCACGUCAAAAUGCAAGUUUGARGAAGCACCUCAAAMAGGUGCCGUGGCUU